rnacentral:lncRNA from 1 species
AUCCGCUCAAGCAAAACAAUCAAAUGUACAAAUGUCAGUAUUCCACUAGCUUUUUCAGCAAAUUCAAAAUCUCUUCAUAAAUAAAAAUAAAAUCUUAUACAAGGGUGUCUUUGAACCGUUAUGAAUACUGAAUCUAUAGUCUACUAUGGAAGCUUAUUGAGAAUCACAGAUAAUUUUCUACAUAAGCAAUGAAUAUCACUUAUUUCUAAAACGAAAUAAAGUAUUUAUUUAAUUCAAUUAAACAUGACAGCAAACAACAUAUUUAAAGUGAAAACUAAACCACCAAUUCUAGAUUACGAGAAAGCUCCAAUUUGAAGUGGAUCUGAAUGCAAACAGGUACCGAAUCAACUUCAACGAAAAUAAACCCAACAAUUCACGCGCAUUCAGAUCCACGAUCAACAUUUCUCAUAAAAACGUAUUGAAAUUAGCGGUCAACGCGAUUCUAUUAUAAUAUUCAAAUUUGUCAAGUGAUAUUAAGUAUUAACAGAUCCAUCUUAAAACGCAGACUAGCACUCAGAUCGAACAAAAAUUCAACUAAUCACACCCCUACAAUAUGCAGCAUCAUACACGGAUCCUGCAUGUAGAGAUACAGUUAUACAAGCAUUCGCAAUCAUAGAUUAUACAUGUAUGUACCUAUAUAUAUAACCAGCUUCGGAAAUCAACGUAGAUCUAGGGUGUAAUUACCGGAUGGAAAAGAAUUUAAAUGGAAAGAACGAAAGGAGAGAAGAUUUUUUACCUUCUCGAAAGCUUCGUAGAAGAAUCGAAAUGUAUGUAGAGAGAAUGUUUCGGGGAAUUUGAAUCUCUGACUAUUCCUAUUUGAAGGCCUGGCGGAAAUAGAACCCCGAGUAUCGUUUUAUCCUUUUCUUUUGUCGCAUCCAGUUAAACGGAGAUUUUUCAAUAAAAUAACAUUAUACUUAUAAAAAAAAAUUAAUAAUAAUAAUAACAAUAAACCAUAUAAAACCAAAAGAGAGCCGUCUCCCUUUGACCUAAAUUAAUAAUAAUAAAAUUUGUCAAUUAAUUAAAUUAUUAGUUUAACAGAAAAUUUUGUUUUGAUUCGAAUUGUGGGCAUAGAUACUAACGUUAGUUGCACAUGUUUAAGCUAAAACCCAAUUGUCUUGGAACAAACAGACAAAUGCUAAGGGCCCGUUUGAUAGGGAUUUUGAGAAUUGAUUUUUUGACCGUUAGAAGAAAAGUGGGGUUCACAUGUGAGAAAAGAAGUCAAAAAUUACGGCUUGAAUAGUAAAAUAACGGUCAAAAAAUCAAUUUUUUGAGGCAAAAAAUUCCCACCAAACGGGACCUAAGCAAAAAUCAGCUUUUAGAAUCUUCAAAAGAGUACAAAAACUAGCAUGGUGAAAUGUACAACGAAUAUAAGAGACUCUUCAACUUGAAGAUAUUUUAAAUUUAUUGAAAUUGAAGGAAAAAUCGAUGUAUAAGAAUCCUAAAUGUUAACGGAAAAGACGACUUAGGUAUACUAGUAAAAUUCUAAGUUUUUUUCUUUCUAUAUUGAUUGACGAUAUCGGAAAAAUUUCUGGAUAAUAAUGAAGUAGGGAUAUAAUUGUGGGUUCAAAAACAAGCAUUUAGAAUCUUCGAAAGAGUACAAAAACAAGCAUGAUGAAAUGUACAACAACUUUAAGAGACUCUCCAACUCCCCUUUUUUUCUUCAAAUUUUCAUUUUCAACUACGCAUUUUUCAAUAAAAUAUUUUUACGUGUCAACCAAAAAUAAUUUCUUAUUUUUUGAACCACACAUUCUCCAAAAUAAUCACUAUUCCAAAAUAUAUUUAAUUAAUUUUAUCAUUUCAUAAUACAUUAUUUGCACAAACACGGGUGAUAAAUUUCAUUAUCUUUUUUCUUUUUCUUUUUUUUGAAAAUUAAUAAUCCAUUGCGUAAAUAAAAAAAAAAGGGAAAAUGAGAAUUUUCAAAAAUUUCAAAAUACUAAUUUCAAUAAUUUCUUGAAAAUUUUAUUGGUGCUAAAGGCUCGAUAUAAGUUUAGUAUGACCUGUCAAUACCUAUUCUCAUAUUUAAAGAUCCGUUACUCACACAAAAGCUAAGAGUUAAUCUAUAAUAAAGUAACCGAAAGCUCAUUUUGGACAAAAGAAGUGAAAUAAAAAUAAGAUACGUUUAAACAUAAUGAAGCAUGUUUUGUGUUGAUUUCAAAAACUAAGAAACUUUGAACUAUAAUCAAGCAUGUUUCAUGUUAAUUUCCAAAAAAUAAGGACAUGUUUCGUGUUUGGUUUUAAUUUAGAAUACUUACGUAAAAAAAGUGAAUUUUAUCUAUUAAAGUAAAAUAAUAAUUAACAAGCUCAAAAUAAUAAGAAAUUGCUUGACCAAACAAGCUCAAAAUUUUACUCUUACAUUUUCUUUUUGAUUACAAUCGUCCUGCAACUUUAGCAGAAGUGUGCCUUUUUAAGUUUUGGGGCUAUAAUUUUGGGUCAAAAUAUAUUUUUAUUGUUGUCUUGCCUCAUAAAAUUAGCGUAAUUUUUUUUCUCCUCAAGGUGUAAAAAUGCACCCAAAAAUAAAGGGAAAAAAAAUCAAAAUCAAAGCAAGAAUGAGAGAAUUAACAAUGAUGAAUAUCAUUAUUCUUUGACGAUAGCUUAAAAAUUCUCGAUGAUAAGUAUAAUGUAAUGCAGAUGUGAUUUUUCUUCACUCUUGGUUUUAAGUUCUAUCGUAAUGUCUAUCAGCACUGCACUGAUUGCACGAUCUCAUUGGAACCCUAGAAUUUUUCUUCGCUCUGAUGUCAUGCCAAAUCACUUGAUGCAGUUAAAAGUUUACUAAUUAUAGCAUUUAAAUAACGUAUUCAAUAAUUUACAGGUUUUUAAUGAUAUUUGUCUUCCUAUUUUCCACUAUAAAAUUUAGCAAGCUUCUCAUUGAUCAAAGGUAAUUGAAAAUUACUUGAAAUUGAAGAAAUUCCUAGAUAAACUUGUUUUGCAGAAAUAAUAAUUCUUUCAAAUUUUGAUCAACGAAAAAAAUAAUAAUGAAAAUUGAAAAAUGUUCUGUGGGUUUUAAAAUUAUUACGCUUCACUAAGCCCCUGUUUGAUUCCCAUUAAAUUACAUUUCAUUACAUUCUAUUUUUUUCUCUCCUAUUUUCAACCACACAAUCUUCCAUAAAAUAAUAUUACAUGUAAAUCGAAAUUUUUUCCUUCUUUUUCAACCACUCAUUUUUUCAACAAAACACUAUUCCUCACAUUUUCAUUACCAAAAAUGGAGGCCAAACAGGAGCUAAAUUGUAUCAGAUUACAACAUUUUAUUUUAAAAGUACUGUUGAGCAUCCCCUUGAAAAAAAAAAAAAUUGCCGUGUUUUGAGUGUUUUUCACGUUCUAAGUUUUUUAAUUGAAUACACUCAAAACGGAAAAAAAAAUCGUUUUGAAUUUUCAGUUACAAAUUCUUUCUUGUUUUCGGAAACGACGACCAAACACGUUUUUAGGCAUUUUUGAAAACUAAAAAUAGAAAAAAAAAAAAAAGAAAAAGAAAAAAAACGCAAGCUUAUUUUUUUUUCUAAAUUUAUUUUCAACUAAACAUUCUUUCAAUAAAAUAAUUUGCAUGUAAGACUAAAAUAUUUUCCUACUUGUUAAUUACAUAAUCUCCAAAAGAUCACUAUUACAAAAUCUACUUUCACAAAAAAUGAGGCUCAAACAAGGGCUUAAUCAAAUAAAAUAUCAUAAAAUAAUUUUUCAAAAUUUCUAACCAAACGUGUUUUCUAAUUUUUAAUUUUGAGAAAUAAUUUUUCAAUAUAAUAAACUAAUUGCAUUUUUAGAAAUCUUAAAAUAAACACUCAAAAUAGGAAAUGAAAAUUGAACUCAAAACUCAAAAUUGAAAAUCAAAACACAAAUCAAACGGACCCUAAAUUUGUAGUUUACUGCUCACAUUGACAUUUUUAGAACAUAUGGUAAUAAAUAUAUUUUGGAAGGAAAUUUAAAGGGGAAAAAGAAUUGACAUUAUGUGAUACCAAUCGGAUUCCAGCCAGGUGCAAUUGAAAGUUGAAAUUACCAUCUUCACUUCCUAACAUAACAGAGAAUGUGCAAAAUAUAAAAUGUUGUGCCAAUCUGGGGAAAUCUGAAUUGCAGUCAUUAAAUAUUUCAUGACGCGUUAAUAAAAAAAUGAUAACAUACAUAUAUAUAUAUAUAUAUAUAUAUAUAUAUAUAAUACUUCAGAAUCUUUCUACCCGCUAUCCAAGACACACAAACAUAGGACAUGAGAGCUUCUUCACCAUAAGGAACCCAUUGGAGUUCUCUCAUAGGCAUUUAAGAUGUUAUUAGCCAGACCACACUGGGCAUCUUGGUGCUUGAGAGUUUUAGUGGUUGCAUUCUAGAUGGUCAUUCCUCAUUGGUCAUUCCUCAUUCUAUCGUUCAGUUCUAUUUGAUUUUAAUAAGCAAGAUGGAACGGUGAGUUCUUAUCUCUUUGUACCACAAUUUUCUUGAUAAAAUAAGAUAGAAGAAAACAAAAGAAGCAUCUAAAUGAUGAGAUGACUCCAUCUUCUGAGCACCAGUAAAACUGACAAACUAGAAACAAGGAAUUCAGGAAGUAUUGGGCAGCUUUACUGGUAGUAUAGAACAGCAAUGAAAAUGACAAAAUAGGAACUCCCUCACAAAAGCCAUGAAACGUUAAUUGCUGAAUCCAGAACAAAAGAACAUGCAGUAAUAACAAGCUGUGAGUAGCAUAUCAAUGCAGUAACGUUGGACCUGCCAGAAGGACUCACCAAUGGUAGGGAUUGUAGUGACAAUUUCUCCAAGCUUGAGUUUGUAUAAUAUGGUAGUUUUACCAGCAGCAUCAAGACCUACCAUCAGAAUCCGCAUCUCUUUCUUGGCAAAGAGCCUGCUAAACAGCUUUCCAAAUGCCAGCCCCAUCUCUGCUUCACCUCAGACUCAGAUCGCUGCCAACUGAUUAUAAAUUUGAUAAACAUCAAUCCGCUCAAGCAAAACAAUCAAAUGUACAAAUGUCAGUAUUCCACUAGCUUUUUCAGCAAAUUCAAAAUCUCUUCAUAAAUAAAAAUAAAAUCUUAUACAAGGGUGUCUUUGAACCGUUAUGAAUACUGAAUCUAUAGUCUACUAUGGAAGCUUAUUGAGAAUCACAGAUAAUUUUCUACAUAAGCAAUGAAUAUCACUUAUUUCUAAAACGAAAUAAAGUAUUUAUUUAAUUCAAUUAAACAUGACAGCAAACAACAUAUUUAAAGUGAAAACUAAACCACCAAUUCUAGAUUACGAGAAAGCUCCAAUUUGAAGUGGAUCUGAAUGCAAACAGGUACCGAAUCAACUUCAACGAAAAUAAACCCAACAAUUCACGCGCAUUCAGAUCCACGAUCAACAUUUCUCAUAAAAACGUAUUGAAAUUAGCGGUCAACGCGAUUCUAUUAUAAUAUUCAAAUUUGUCAAGUGAUAUUAAGUAUUAACAGAUCCAUCUUAAAACGCAGACUAGCACUCAGAUCGAACAAAAAUUCAACUAAUCACACCCCUACAAUAUGCAGCAUCAUACACGGAUCCUGCAUGUAGAGAUACAGUUAUACAAGCAUUCGCAAUCAUAGAUUAUACAUGUAUGUACCUAUAUAUAUAACCAGCUUCGGAAAUCAACGUAGAUCUAGGGUGUAAUUACCGGAUGGAAAAGAAUUUAAAUGGAAAGAACGAAAGGAGAGAAGAUUUUUUACCUUCUCGAAAGCUUCGUAGAAGAAUCGAAAUGUAUGUAGAGAGAAUGUUUCGGGGAAUUUGAAUCUCUGACUAUUCCUAUUUGAAGGCCUGGCGGAAAUAGAACCCCGAGUAUCGUUUUAUCCUUUUCUUUUGUC